rnacentral:rRNA from 1 species
CAGGCCUAACACAUGCAAGUCGAGCGAGAAAGGGGAAACCCCGGUAAAGCGGCGCACGGGUGAGUAACACGUAGGUAAUUUACCCCCAGGUGGUGGAUAACCUUCCGAAAGGAGGGCUAAUACAGCAUAAGACCACGUCUUCGCAAGGAGAUGAGGUCAAAGCCGGCCUCUUCACGAAAGCUGGCGCCAGGGGAUGAGCCUGCGGCCCAUCACGGUAGUUGGUAGGGUAAUGGCCUACCAAGCCUAAGACGGGUAGCUGGUCUGAGAGGAUGAUCAGCCACACUGGAACUGAGACACGGUCCAGACUCCUACGGGAGGCAGCAGUGGGGAAUCUUGCGCAAUGGGCGAAAGCCUGACGCAGCGACGCCGCGUGAGUGAUGAAGGCCUUCGGGUUGUAAAGCUCUGUGGGGAGGGACGAAUAAGUGCUGGCUAAUAUCCAGCGCGAUGACGGUACCUCUUUAGCAAGCACCGGCUAACUCUGUGCCAGCAGCCGCGGU